rnacentral:rRNA from 1 species
ACGAACGCUGGCGGCGUGCUUAACCCAUGCAAGUCGAACGGAAAGGCCCUGCUUUUGUGGGGUGCUCGAGUGGCGAACGGGUGAGUAACACGUGAGUAACCUGCCCUUGACUUUGGGAUAACUUCAGGAAACUGGGGCUAAUACCGGAUAGGAGCUCCUGCUGCACGGUGGGGGUUGGAAAGUUUCGGCGGUUGGGGAUGGACUCGCGGCUUAUCAGCUUGUUGGUGGGGUAGUGGCUUACCAAGGCUUUGACGGGUAGCCGGCCUGAGAGGGUGACCGGCCACAUUGGGACUGAGAUACGGCCCAGACUCCUACGGGAGGCAGCAGUGGGGAAUAUUGCACAAUGGGCGGAAGCCUGAUGCAGCAACGCCGCGUGCGGGAUGACGGCCUUCGGGUUGUAAACCGCUUUCGCCUGUGACGAAGCGUGAGUGACGGUAAUGGGUAAAGAAGCACCGGCUAACUACGUG